rnacentral:rRNA from 1 species
UACGGGGGGGGCAAGCGUUGUUCGGAUUCAUUGGGCGUAAAGGGUGCGUAGGCGGCGGGGCAAGUCUGAUGUGAAAUCCCGGGGCUCAACCCCGGAACUGCAUUGGAUACUGCCUUGCUCGAGUACUGGAGAGGGAACUGGAAUUUACGGUGUAGCAGUGAAAUGCGUAGAGAUCGUAAGGAAGGCCAGUGGCGAAGGCGAGUUCCUGGACAGUUACUGACGCUGAGGCACGAAGGCCAGGGGAGCAAACGGG